rnacentral:rRNA from 1 species
GAUGAACGCUGACAGAAUGCUUAACACAUGCAAGUCAACUUGAAUUUGGGUUUUUAACUUAGGUUUGGGUGGCGGACGGGUGAGUAACGCGUAAAGAACUUGCCUCACAGCUAGGGACAACAUUUGGAAACGAAUGCUAAUACCUAAUAUUAUGAUAAUAGGGCAUCCUAUAAUUAUGAAAGCUAUAAGCGCUGUGAGAGAGCUUUGCGUCCCAUUAGCUAGUUGGAGAGGUAACGGCUCACCAAGGCGAUGAUGGGUAGCCGGCCUGAGAGGGUGAUCGGCCACAAGGGGACUGAGACACGGCCCUUACGCCUACGGGAGGCAGCAGUGGGGAAUAUUGGACAAUGGACCGAGAGUCUGAUCCAGCAAUUCUGUGUGCACGAUGAAGUUUUUCGGAAUGAAAAGUGCUUUCAGUUGGGAAGAAACAAAUGACGGUACCAACAGAAGAAGUGACGGCUAAAUACGUG